CAACUUUCAGCAACGGAUCUCUUGGCUCUCGCAUCGAUGAAGAACGCAGCGAAAUGCGAUAAGUAAUGUGAAUUGCAGAAUUCAGUGAGUCAUCGAAUCUUUGAACGCACCUUGCGCCCUUUGGCUAUUCCGAAGGGCAUGCCUGUUUGAGUAUCA
rnacentral:rRNA from 1 species